AAUGCGGGCCUGUUUUGAGAGACGAAGACACACUGAGAAUCGCUGAGCAGUCAUUCGAUCCGGCCUUCGAACCUACGAUACGUCCAAUAUAAACUGCACUCUCCGGUCGUUGCAUCGUCAGUCUCCUGGACGGCGCAAGCACCGCCAUGAAGAACUUGUUCCUGUUGGUAGCUCUGUUGCUGCUGUCGGCGGCCUUGUUCACGGAAGCUCAACGAUUUCCAGGAGGAGGAGGAGGUGGUGGAUUUCCACGCCCUGGCGGUGGCCGCAGAUGUGGAAAUCUAGUGUGCCGUCCUAGACAACGCUGCGUUCCACAACAAGUGCAGUGCAUUAGAGCCCCCUGUCCGACCCUCUACCGAUGUGUAUGAAGUGGAUUUCCGGACACAGAAACAUCACACUUGAUGUACAGCAGCUCCGAAAACACGUUGCUGAUUCAAUAAAUCUUUGAAUUCGAUUGACUACUGCA